GAAAUGCGAUAAGUAAUGUGAAUUGCAGAAUUCCGUGAAUCAUCGAAUCUUUGAACGCACAUUGCGCCCCCUGGUAUUCCGGGGGGCAUGCCUGUCCGAGCGUCAUUGCUGCCCUCAAGCACGGCUUGUGUGUUGGGCUUCCGUCCCUGGCAACGGGGACGGGCCCAAAAGGCAGUGGCGGCACCAUGUCUGGUCCUCGAGCGUAUGGGGCUUUGUCACCCGCUCCCGUAGGUCCAGCUGGCAGCUAGCCUCGCAACCAAUCUUUUUAACCAGGUUGACCUCGGAUCAGGUAGGGAUACCCGCUGAACUUAAGA
rnacentral:misc_RNA from 1 species